rnacentral:rRNA from 1 species
UGCAAGUCGAACGAUUGCCUUCGGGUGAUAGUGGCGCACGGGUGCGUAACGCGUGGGAAUCUGCCCUUAGGUUCGGAAUAACAGCUGGAAACGGCUGCUAAUACCGGAUGAUAUCGCGAGAUCAAAGAUUUAUCGCCUGAGGAUGAGCCCGCGUUGGAUUAGGUAGUUGGUGGGGUAAAGGCCUACCAAGCCGACGAUCCAUAGCUGGUCUGAGAGGAUGAUCAGCCACACUGGGACUGAGACACGGCCCAGACUCCUACGGGAGGCAGCAGUGGGGAAUAUUGGACAAUGGGCGCAAGCCUGAUCCAGCAAUGCCGCGUGAGUGAUGAAGGCCCUAGGGUUGUAAAGCUCUUUUACCCGGGAAGAUAAUGACUGUACCGGGAGAAUAAGCCCCGGCUAACUCCGUGCCAGCAGCCGCGGUAAUACGGAGGGGGCUAGCGUUGUUCGGAAUUACUGGGCGUAAAGCGCACGUAGGCGGCUUUGUAAGUCAGAGGUGAAAGCCUGGAGCUCAACUCCAGAACUGCCUUUGAGACUGCAUCGCUUGAAUCCAGGAGAGGUCAGUGGAAUUCCGAGUGUAGAGGUGAAAUUCGUAGAUAUUCGGAAGAACACCAGUGGCGAAGGCGGCUGACUG